GAUGAACGCUAGCUACAGGCUUAACACAUGCAAGUCGCGGGGCAGCAUGGGGGUUGCUUGCAAUCCCCGAUGGCGACCGGCGCACGGGUGAGUAACGCGUAUCCAACCUGCCCUUCACCACGGGAUAACCCGGCGAAAGUCGGACUAAUACCGUAUGUUGUCCAUUGACGGCACCCGAUUUGGACGAAAGGUUUGGGGGUGAAGGAUGGGGAUGCGUCCGAUUAGCUGGACGGCGGGGUGACGGCCCACCGUGGCGACGAUCGGUAGGGGUUCGGAGAGGAAGGUCCCCCAGACUGGAACUGAGACACGGUCCAGACUCCUACGGGAGGCAGCAGUGAGGAAUAUUGGGCAAUGGGCGUAAGCCUGAACCAGCCAAGUAGCGUGCAGGAUGACGGCCCUAUGGGUUGUAAACUGCUUUUAUGCGGGGAUAAAGUGGCCCACGUGUGGGUUUUUGCAGGUACCGCAUGAAUAAGGACCGGCUAAUUCCGUG
rnacentral:rRNA from 1 species